GAAGAAAAGGCUGUUGCUAAUAUCAGCGGCUGAUGACGGUACCUGAAGAAUAAGCACCGGCUAACUACGUGCCAGCAGCCGCGGUAAUACGUAGGGUGCGAGCGUUAAUCGGAAUUACUGGGCGUAAAGCGGGCGCAGACGGUUACUUAAGCAGGAUGUGAAAUCCCCGGGCUCAACCUGGGAACUGCGUUCUGAACUGGGUGACUAGAGUGUGUCAGAGGGAGGUAGAAUUCCACGUGUAGCAGUGAAAUGCGUAGAGAUGUGGAGGAAUACCGAUGGCGAAGGCAGCCUCCUGGGAUAACACUGACGUUCAUGCCCGAAAGCGUGGGUAGCAAACAGGAUUAGAUACCCUGGUAGUCCACGCCCUAAACGAUGUCAAUUAGCUGUUGGGCAACUUGAUUGCUUAGUAGCGUAGCUAACGCGUGAAAUUGACCGCCUGGGGAGUACGGUCGCAAGAUUAAAACUCAAAGGAAUUGACGGGGACCCGCACAAGCGGUGGAUGAUGUGGAUUAAUUCGAUGCAACGCGAAGAACCUUACCUGGUCUUGACAUGUACGGAAUCCUCCAGAGACGGAGGAGUGCCUUCGGGAGCCGUAACACAGGUGCUGCAUGGCUGUCGUCAGCUCGUGUCGUGAGAUGUUGGGUUAAGUCCCGCAACGAGCGCAACCCUUGUCAUUAGUUGCCAUCAUUCAGUUGGGCACUCUAAUGAGACUGCCGGUGACAAGCCGGAGGAAGUGGGGAUGACGUCAAGUCCUCAUGGCCCUUAUGACCAGGGCUUCACACGUCAUACAAUGGUCGGUACAGAGGGUAGCCAAGCCGCGAGGCGGAGCCAAUCUCACAAAACCGAUCGUAGUCCGGAUUGCACUCUGCAACUCGAGUGCAUGAAGUCGGAAUCGCUAGUAAUCGCAGGUCAGCAUACUGCGGUGAAUACGUUCCCGGGUCUUGUACACACCGCCCGUCACACCAUGGGAGUGGGGGAUACCAGAAGUAGGUAGGGUAACCGCAAGGAGUCCGCUUACCACGGUAUGCUUCAUGACUGGGGUGAAGUCGUAACAAGGUAGCCGUAGGGGAACCUGCGGCUGGAUCACC
rnacentral:rRNA from 1 species